rnacentral:rRNA from 1 species
GAUGAACGCUAGCGGCAGGCUUAACACAUGCAAGUCGAGGGGUAUAGUUCUUCGGAGCUAGAGACCGGCGCACGGGUGCGUAACGCGUAUGCAAUCUACCUUUUGCAGAGGGAUAGCCCAGAGAAAUUUGGAUUAAUACCUCAUGGUAUGUGAGAAUGGCAUCAUUUUCACAUUAAAGUCACAACGGCAAAAGAUGAGCAUGCGUCCCAUUAGCUAGUUGGUAAGGUAACGGCUUACCAAGGCAACGAUGGGUAGGGGUCCUGAGAGGGGAAUCCCCCAGACUGGUACUGGGACACGGACCAGACGCCUACGGGAGGCAGCAGUGAGGAAUAUUGGACAAUGGGCGAAAGCCUGAUCCAGCCAUGCCGCGUGCAGGAUGACGGUCCUAUGGAUUGUAAACUGCUUUUGUACAGGAAGAAACACUGGUUCGUGAACCAGCUUGACGGUACUGUAAGAAUAAGGAUCGGCUGACUCCGUGCCAGCAGCCGCCGUAACAC